rnacentral:rRNA from 1 species
CUGGUUGGUGGGGUAAUGGCCUACCAAGGCGACGAUCGGUUGCUGGUCUGAGAGGACGAUCAGCCACACUGGGAUUGAGAACGGCCCAGACUCCUACGGGGGGCAGCAGUGAGGAAUUUUCCGCAAUGGGGGCAACCCUGACGGAGCAACGCCGCGUGCAGGAGGACGCUUUUCGGAGUGUAAACUGCUUUUCUGUGGGACGAGGAUGGACGGUACCACAGGAAGAAGCCCCGGCUAACUACGUGCCAGCAGCCGCGGUAAUACGUAGGGGGCGAGCGUUGUCCGGAGUUACUGGGCGUAAAGGGCAUGCAGGCGGUCGGACGCGUUUUGUGUGACAGCGGAUGGCUUAACUAUCCGAGGAUACGAAAGACGGUUUGACUUGAGGGCUCGAGAGGGACACGGAAUUCCGGGUGGAGUGGUGAAAUGCGUAGAGAUCCGGAGGAACACCAAAGGCGAAGGCAGUGUCCUGGCGAGUACCUGACGCUGAGGUGCGAAAGCUAGGGGAGCAAACGGGAUUAGAUACCCCGGUAGUCCUAGCCGUAAACGAUGACCACUAGGCGUGGGGGGUAUCGACCCCUUCCGUGCCGUAGCUAACGUGAUAAGUGGUCCGCCUGGGGAGUACGGUCGCAAGAUUAAAACUCAAAGGAAUUGACG